UACUUAUCUAUUUAAUUUUAGAUUUUAUUUGGCAUUUGUGAUCUAUUUCUUCUCCGAAGUAUGCAUUUCUUCUGUUUUUCUAGACAUUUGUACAGAUUAUUGUGUUAUCCACGAAAGGUUGAUAGUUUUAAAUGGUAAAUUAUUAGAGGUUUUAUUUGUUUUGCUGUCCAAGUUUUUUUUUUCAUUCAAAAUUAAUAAAUUAAUUUUUGUUCCAUUCAAUAUUUGAAUUGUAAAUCGCGAUUCAUUCAGAUUGAAUAAUAAAUUAAUUUUUGUUUAAUCUCGCGAUGUCUUGAGAAUAGUUAGAUUCUUCAAAGUCGUCAAACUUCAUCGUGAGAAAUAAUUUAAUUUUUAUUGUGUACAUAAACGGUUUAUGUGUUAUUGAUUGAUGAUUGAUCUUUAUACAUGAGUUAUUAUGAGUUAAUUGAGAAGCUAGUAUUUGUUUUUUUAAUUGUAUAGAUAGGUAUAAUUAGUUGUUUACUAGUUUCAUUUAUUUUACAGAUGGACAGUAGUAGUGGUAAUACCUCCUCCUCCCCUCCUAAUGUUAGCCAAACUCCGGAAAAAUAUAGCACCUCUACCUCCCAAGUCCAAUCGAAAGAGACCUAAUAUACCAACCUCGUCUGUGUGGGAUCAUUUCACAAAAAUAGAAGCAAAUCCUAAUGAUGAAGCUAGGUGCAAGUGUAACUAUUGUGGUAAAGAUUAAUGGAAGUACUUAAGAAAUCAAUGUAAAAAGUACCCAUAUAAAGAAGAAGAAAAAGGACAAACCACCCUAACUCUCUACCUUCAAAUGAUGGAAAAAGAGUCAAUGCUAGUAAUUUUGUAACGACAUUGUUUAGCCAACAAGCGUGUAGACUAGCAUGCGCUAAGAUGAUAAUUAUGAAUGAGUUGUCAUUCAAAUUUGUUGAGAUAGAGGAUUUUAGACACUUUUGUAGUGUUUCGUGUCCUAAGUUUGAUGUUCCAUCAAGAGUCACAAUCACUAGAGAUGUAUAUCAACUUUAUCUUGAGGAGAAAAAAAAAAAGUUGAAAUCAUUUUUAGUUAAAAGCUCUCAAAGAGUUUGUCUUACGAUCGACACAUGGACUUCGCUAUAAAAUGUGAGCUACAUGGUCAUCAAAGACUAUUGGGAAGAUGAUUGAGAGUUGUUUGUUGGAAUGGGGAAUUGAAUUUUUUUUUCCAUUACCGUUGAUAAUGCAAGUUCUAAUGAUGUGACUAUUUCUUAUGUUAAGAGAAGACUUAAACGUUGGAAAUCGGUUGUUUUAGAUGGAAAAUUUUGCAUAAUGGAAGAAUUUAAAGCUUGUAUGAUACGUUUGAUCAUCACCUAAGCGAAUAGAAAAAUUUAAAGCUUGUGUGAAACAAGAAAAAAUUCAGUGUAGGACUCUUGUUUGUUGUGGCAACUAGGUGGAAUUCUACUUAUUUAAUGCUUGAACAUGCAAUUAAAUUUGAGAAAGCUUUUAGAACUUUAGAGGAGGAGAAAGAAGACUCAGAUUUUGUUGAUUACUUCGAGGAAGAUGACCGUGGAAAUAAAAGAUUGGGACCCCAAAGUACAUCGGAUUGGUUGACUGUAGGUGUGUUUAUUAAGUUUUUAAAAAGGUUUUAUGAAACCAUCACAACGAUAAGUGGAUCUUCAUAUGUGACUUUGGUUAUAAGGAAAUUGAUAAAAUUCAGUUUGCUUUAAACAAAUGGAGCAAUAAUACCAACUCUAUUCUAAGUAUGAUGGCUAUGAAUAUGAAGACAAAGUUUGAUAAGUAUUGGGGUUCGUUUGAAAAAAUGAAUAAAUUGAUGUUUGUAGCUAUGGUGAUUGAUCUUCUGUACAAGUUAAAGUACUUGAAUUAUUAUCUUUCGAAUGUUUAUGACAGUGAUGUGGUAAUGAAGAAGGGGUAAAAUGACUGAAUGAAUACGAGCUCACUUGAGUGAUUCUUCCUUUCAGUUGAUGGACCGAGAAACUUCUCCCCCCACAUACGAGAAAAAGUCACAAAUAGAGGCGAGAAAAGGCAUAUAAAUUGUUUACUCGAGGGGAUAAUAGAAAGAGAAUGGCUUUCUUGGAAUUUGGCCAGGGCCUGAGUUCGAGAAUGUUAGAUCCUCAAUUCAACAUCGAGUUACUCCACCAGACAUUGAGAGAGCUGUUUCUGAUGUGAGAUCCGAGGAGACUCGACUUGAGCCUCAAAACUAGGUUGCAUGGUCCUCAAGAACAGUUGGUUCCAUAGAAAAUGAGGGGGAAUUGGCCCAAAAAUUGGAUAGGGGGCCAAAGUAAGACAGUGAAAAGAACAGGACAUCUUUCACGUACUGAAAGGCAAGCCUUUCUCAUGGGGAAUUCUCCAACUACGAUCAAGGAAGAGAAAGCGGGAGUAGUCUGUUUUCAUCAUUUAUAUGUAAUAAAGAAUUUCUCAAUGCAAUCAUACAGGACGUCAGAAUAACUGGUAAGGAAUCGUGCCUUGAAAAAAAAAGAACGUCCCAACCAUCAAGACCUCCCCUUUCCUUUGACCAACGGGUCCUCGAACCAACCUGUCGAGCGCCAUAUUAUUGGGAAUAACGAAAGCAUCUCUAAAUACUCAUUUUUGCAUAUCCGAAGCUUCGCGCACUGGGAAAACGCUAACGCGACGGGGCACGAAGUUCGAAAGAAAGGAAUAAAAAAGUUAGAUCAAGAAUAGCCAAAGGCUAGGAAAGCAAGGGGCCUGAUCGACAUUCUUGUUUACUCUGAUCUGGUCGAGGUGGUUUUCGUUUACCAGAUGUGAUGAGUCGACAUCGAGGUGCCAAACGCAGGGGGAUACAAAAAAGUAAUAAGAGAGGCACAUAGACCAAUCAAUCGUAUUGGUCUUCUUCCGCUUAAAUGAUUUAGGAAUGACUGGCAGCUGAUCCCACAAAUUAUGCUAAACCAUCCCGUUCCUUUCUUUGCAGGGUCAUGGUUGGGGAAAGACAAAUUAUAUAGAGCUACAUCAUAUAUAUGUCUAAAGAGUCCUUUUAAGGCUUGUGUACUUUUUUUUUACCAGCCUUGGGUUGGAAAGAGUGCUUCUCGAAACUUGCUCCUUCCUGAGUUUUUGGCAAUAAUUCUCUAUUACAUAGCUCUUCUUCUGAUUAAGGAUAUGGUUGAGAGUGUGAAAUUAUAUUUGUAUCGUCUAUAUGACUUUUACAAAUCACAUAACACUUCGCCUCGAGAUAGUCAUAGUACCAAUGAUUCUCAGCAAUCAAAGACCGCCACUAUAAAUGAAGCUGAUCAUGAGAUGGACGAAGAAAUAGAUGAUCUGUGGAUAACUUUUAAGAGAUUGAGAGAAGAAGAAAGUUCAUCGGAAGUGGAGAAUGAUUUGACUUCUUAUUUGUCUGACAAGGUUAUAAAAGAUAAAGAUGAUAAAAUAAAUGACUACAAAUAUCCCAUUUUAUAAAAAUUGUUCGACAUGUUUUGGCAGUUCCGAUAUCUACAGUCGCUUCUGAAUCUGCAUUUAGUACUGGAGGAAGGAUUCUUGAUUCUUUUCGAAGUUCUUUGACUCCAAAAACAGUGGAGGCCUUGAUAUGUACAAAAAAUUGGAUUCGUGGUGGCUCAGUGUUACUAGAUCUCCAUCCACAACUUGAAGAGUUAGAGACGUGUGCAAAUAUUGAGUCGGGGAGACCAUCAUCUCACUACAAGAAUUUUGGGCUUUAAUGUCUGUUCGUUGUGCAAUCCACGCUGCCGCACUUAGUCGUCGUGUAACCCGCACCCGUUCGUCGUUCGAUUUGAAGUUUAGAUAUGAAGUUCGUCGUUCGUCCAGAUCAGUAUGCUCUUCUUAUCUUUCCUCUCUUAAACUCAUAGCAAUUGUUGUUCUUAUGUUACGCCUCUCAACUGUUUGUGUAAAUGUCUCAAUGAAAGCCAGAUGCGGUUUCACUUCAAUAUGUCUCUCUGCUCCUAGAUUUGGGCCUUUUUUAUGUGUCUAUGGCCUUUGAAAUUCAAUUUGAUUAAUGGUUUUGUUGUAUAUGAUACAUUUGUUGAAGCAUUGGCAAGAGGCGUUGCCAAGAGUUACUCCUGCGUUGGGUAUGUGUGAGCAAGAGCAGUGAAAGCGAAAUGUUGAGCGCAAGGCGCUGGGUAGACAAUUGUGUAGCAAAUGGGUAGCGCUACACGAUGAGGUAGGCGAUCGUGUAGGCAGGCACUGGACGAUCGUGUAGCAAUGCGGCGAGCUAAACGAUGAGGUAGGCGAUGUGUCUAUAGUAGAUGUGCGGAGCUAAGCGAUGUGCUAGACGAUCGUGUAGAUAUGCGCUGGUGCUGGACGAUCGUGUAGGCGGGAGUUGGACGAUGGUAUAGCAGAUGCGCGGGUGCUAAGCAAUAGACUACAUGAUGGUGCUACGCGAUGGGCAUGAGCGACGAUAGCUGUGCUGCGCUAGACAAUGAGCAGAGGCGCUACACGAUAGGCGAAAUGCUAAGCGAUAGGCGAUGACGUUAAGCGAUAGGCGAAUGCAUUAGAUGAUAAGGCGUCAGAGCUAAAUGAUGGAGGUAAACGAUUGGCGUGGUAACUAAACAAUAGCCUAUGCGCGAGAUCGUUUACUAAACGAUUGAGCUACACGAUGGCCUGCUGGAGCUAAGUGAUAGAUGCAGGAACUAAACGAUUGAUUGACUUGAGAACAUGUGCAUUAUGCUAAUUAAAUACAAUAAAAGAAUGUUUGA